UACGGAGGGUGCGAGCGUUGUUCGGAAUCACUGGGCGUAAAGCGCGUGUAGGCGGCCAUGUAGGUCUGACGUGAAAUUCCGAGGCUCAACCUCGGCAGGUCGUUGGAAACCAGAUGGCUAGAGUCCGGAAGAGGAGAGUGGAAUUCCUGGUGUAGCGGUGAAAUGCGCAGAUAUCAGGAAGAACACCAAUGGCGAAGGCAGCUCUCUGGGACGGUACUGACGCUGAGACGCGAAAGCGUGGGGAGCGAACAGG
rnacentral:rRNA from 1 species